rnacentral:lncRNA from 1 species
AGAGUGACUAGUGCAGGCUUCCUGGGGAACCAUUUGAGCUUUGAAGGUGGGGAAGAGGAAUGUCAGAGAGUGGGCAAAAUACAACAGGAAAGGUCCAAAUUCACCCUCUGAGGGCCCGGGGCACGGGGGCAGCCUGCUCUCCUCCUGGGGCCCUGUUCCCUGUGGGGACUGGAAGAGAGGCUUUGAGUCUAGGGCCUGGGGCAGCCAGGACUGACGGGGGUGCAGUCCUAGAAGGGUCGGCAGUCACGGUGGCCCACCAUGGCAUCUCCGUAUCCUUGCUGCAUGCUGCACCCACUCCAGCUGCCAGAGCACGGAGGCAGAGACGUGGGAGCCGAUGAAGGUCGCACGCCAGCCUCCCACCUGUGAGACAAAGGGCCCUGUCACUGGAAGCCACGUCCAGCCUGGCCCCGCAGGAGCCAGGGCUCUGCGCCUAACGGAGGACUGAUGGGAAAGGGAAGGCUGGCAGCAGUGAGGGGCCAAUCAUCUGAAUCACGUUCCUGUAUUCAGGAUUUGCCCCUCCAAAACAGUUUUGAUGGGAGACACCAGCCACCUACUAUUAUGCAGCCAUGCACCACAUAACGACGUUUCAGGCAACAAUGACUGCACAUACCACAGUGGUCCCGUAAAAUUACAAUGGAGCUGAAAAAUUCCUAUUGCCUAGUGACGUCACAGCCAUUGUAAGGUCAGAGUGCAACACAUCACUCAUGUGUUUGUGUUGAUGCUGCUGUAAACAAACCUACCGCACUGCCAGUCAUAUAAAAGUAUAGCCCAUACAAUUAUGUGUAGUACUUAAUACUUAAUAAUAAUAAACAACUAUGUUGCUGGUUUACG